GCCAGGUGUGGUGGUGCACACCUGUAGUCCCAGCUACUCGGGAGGCUGAGGCAGGAGGGUUGCUUGAGCUCAGGAGUUUGAAGUUGCAGUCAUCUGUGACUGCACCACUACAGUCCAGCCUGAGCAAGAGAGUGAAACCCUGUCUCAA
rnacentral:SRP_RNA from 1 species